rnacentral:lncRNA from 1 species
AAACCACACAACAGAAUUUCACGAAACCUUUUAGAUAAUAAGGACAUACUAUGUAGUUGUGCAUAUCGACGGGAAAUUGCGAUUCAAUUUUUUUUCUAGGAGUUACGCCCUUUGAACUUAUUUACUUUAAUGUACUACUGCAACAGUUUGUCAUCGCAACUCCUCUCAAACCACACAACAGAAUUUCAUGAAACUUUGUAGAUAAUAA